AAACAAUUUCGUAUCCACCCAUGUAUUCAUCUCUAUUGGAACAACACUAUGUGAUUUGACUUUGGAGGUAUGAAUUGAAUCUAAGACUAAGGGGAAAAAAAUCUGGGGCAUCCGUGUCCACAAGUUUUGCUUAUUGACAAUUUUAUGUAUGGGGAAGCAUUGGUUUUUAGAGAAUUUGUGAAGUUUGAACAUUAACAAAAACAGUAAGUUGCCUAUUUACAAAAAGAAUAAUCCAGAUGUCUUCAGACUGACAGACACAGCCUCCAUAUCAAGAAAGAAGCUGGAAGAAAAUAAUUGUGAAACCUUUUGAUGAAUAUUUGAACAAGAGCAGGAGGAAACAGCAUGGCUUUGCGAAGAACAAAUCCUGUCAGACUAAAUUAAUCUCCUCCUAUGACAGAAUGACAAGUCUCUGGUUUGAGGGGGAGGCUUGGAAAGUGUCACCGAGAGGGAGAAAGAACUGGAAGGAAGCAUGAGUAAAGUUACUCCCAUUUGGCAGAUCCUUAAAGAUCUAUCUCCUUCCUUAGAAGAAGCCCCAUGAUCAUGGACCUUAUGCAUUAUUCACUAAGACAAGGCCUGCUCCAGU